UCUGGAUGACCCUUCGUACCCGUA
rnacentral:sRNA from 1 species